rnacentral:piRNA from 1 species
ACUGAACUGAAGCACAAAUUCGGGCAG